rnacentral:rRNA from 1 species
GAUGAACGCUAGCUACAGGCUUAACACAUGCAAGUCGCGGGGCAGCAUGGGGGUUGCUUGCAAUCCCCGAUGGCGACCGGCGCACGGGUGAGUAACGCGUAUCCAACCUGCCCUUCACCACGGGAUAACCCGGCGAAAGUCGGACUAAUACCGUAUGUUGUCCAUUGACGGCAUCCGAUUUGGACGAAAGGUUUGGCGGUGAAGGAUGGGGAUGCGUCCGAUUAGCUGGACGGCGGGGUGACGGCCCACCGUGGCGACGAUCGGUAGGGGUUCUGAGAGGAAGGUCCCCCACACUGGAACUGAGACACGGUCCAGACUCCUACGGGAGGCAGCAGUGAGGAAUAUUGGUCAAUGGGCGUAAGCCUGAACCAGCCAAGUAGCGUGCAGGAUGACGGCCCUAUGGGUUGUAAACUGCUUUUAUGCGGGGAUAAAGUGGCCCACGUGUGGGUUUUUGCAGGUACCGCAUGAAUAAGGACCGGCUAAUUCCGU